AACAGAAUUAAAGUUUCGCCAAAAUGGUUCCAUCGACAUCGAUCACACUUUUUGGACCAAGCUUAAAUGAACGAGAUAAUUUCGAUUCUAUUCUAUAGUUUCGAUCUUUUCCACGUUUGGAACAUGAUAUUUUGAUCAGUCGGGAAUGAGAAGUCGCGUUGAUUGGUUGAUUUCUAUCGAAAGUCGGAUCCGGCCGUGACUUUUAUCGCGGCAUGAAUGGGGAACCGUAACGGUGCGACCGGUUCACACGAGGCCACGUCUUGUCAUUAGGAAUCCACCUGAUGUCGAUGGCCGGUUCUUUCGAAUACGUGUAACGAUUUUACGCGGAUUUCGAUUCUGAUGAUCCCGUGGGCCAAGAAAGCAGGUCGUGGAACGCGGAAUCGCUCAUCGCGCAUUAAGAGGAUCUUCACUCGGUUUGCUCGUCGCCGGAAGUCGCACGUCGUCCAUAAACCCAAGCCUAGAACGGGCGCAUUCGACCACGUUUAAUUGUUAACUCGACUGUCUUCGUGUACACCAUUACGUAAUUGAACUUGACAGAAGAAACUAUUAAAUCUGUAAUUCGCGCU